ACUCCUACGGGAGGCAGCAGCAGGGAAUCUUGCACAAUGGGCGAAAGCCUGAUGCAGCAACGCCGCGUGUGGGAUGAAGGCCUUCGGGUUGUAAACCACUUUCAGGAGGGAAGAAAUUGACGGUACCUCCAAAAGAAGGUCCGGCCAACUACGUGCCAGCAGCCGCGGUAAUACGUAGGGACCGAGCGUUAUCCGGAAUCAUUGGGCGUAAAGAGCUCGUAGGCGGUUCAGAAAGUCGGCUGUGAAAGUCCAAGGCUCAACCUUGGAAAUGCAGUCGAGACUUCUGUGACUAGAGUCUGGUAGAGGAGAAUGGAAUUCCCGGUGUAGCGGUGGAAUGCGCAGAUAUCGGGAGGAACACCAGUAGCGAAGGCGGUUCUCUGGGCCUCGACUGACGCUGAGGAGCGAAAGCAUGGGUAGCAAACAGGAUUAGAUACCCUGGUAGCGACUGA
rnacentral:rRNA from 1 species